rnacentral:rRNA from 1 species
CCUACGGGUGGCAGCAGUGGGGAAUAUUGGACAAUGGGGGGAACCCUGAUCCAGCCAUGCCGCGUGUGUGAAGAAGGCCCUCGGAUUGUAAAGCACUUUCAGUGAGGAAGAACGCCUGGUGGUUAAUACCCAUCAGGAAAGACAUCACUCACAGAAGAAGCACCGGCUAACUCCGUGCCAGCAGCCGCGGUAAUACGGAGGGUGCGAGCGUUAAUCAGAAUUACUGGGCGUAAAGCGCGCGUAGGUGGCUUGAUAAGCCGGUUGUGAAAGCCCCGGGCUCAACCUGGGAACGGCAUCCGGAACUGUCAAGCUAGAGUGCAGGAGAGGAAGGUAGAAUUCCCGGUGUAGCGGUGAAAUGCGUAGAGAUCGGGAGGAAUACCAGUGGCGAAGGCGGCCUUCUGGACUGACACUGACACUGAGGUGCGAAAGCGUGGGUAGCAAACAGGAUUAGAUACCCGAGUAGUC